rnacentral:rRNA from 1 species
UGAACCUGCGGAGGGAUCAUUACAGAGUUCAUGCCCUAACGGGUAGAUCUCCCACCCUAUGUUAUUAAUACUAUGUUGCUUUGGCGGGCCGCUCGGGCGAGUCCCGACCACCGGCUUCGGCUGGUGAGCGCCCGCCAGAGGACCCAAAACCCUGAAUGUUAGUGUCGUCUGAGUACUAUAUAAUAGUUAAAACUUUCAACAACGGAUCUCUUGGUUCUGGCAUCGAUGAAGAACGCAGCGAAAUGCGAUAAGUAAUGUGAAUUGCAGAAUUCAGUGAAUCAUCGAAUCUUUGAACGCACAUUGCGCCCCCUGGUAUUCCGGGGGGCAUGCCUGUUCGAGCGUCAUUACAACCCUCAAGCUAAGCUUGGUAUUGGGCUUCGCCGCUAACCCGGCGGGCCUUAAAAUCAGUGGCGGUGCCGUCGUGGCCCUGAGCGUAGUAAAUAUCCUCGCUAUAGGGACACGGUGGUGACCGGCCAGCAACCCCCAACUUUCUAAGUUUGACCUCGGAUCAGGUAGGGAUACCCGCUGAACUUAAGCAUAUCAAUAAGCGGAGGAA